UGGUCAAGUUAUUAAGGGUGCAGGGCGGAUGCCUUGGCACUAGGAGCCGAUGAAGGACGUGAUAAGCUGCGAUAAGCUUCGGGGAGUUGCACGUAAACUUUGAUCCGAAGAUUUCCGAA
rnacentral:rRNA from 3 species